rnacentral:RNase_P_RNA from 1 species
ACUACAAACCGAACUAUCGCGGCGCGUAAGUGUCGAGGAAAGUCCGGACAGCACAGAGCAAUGCACCGGUUAAGAGCCGGGUGGCGUGAAGACGUCAACAGAGAGUGCCACAGAAAAUAACUACCCGAAAGGGAAAAGAUGAAAACGUGAGGUAAGAGCUCACGGUCGUGCGUAGCAAUAUACACGAUGGGUAAACCUUGCAUGCUGAAAUGCCAUGUAAGCCAGUCUCCGAGGGCUGCUCGCCCGAUCCUCCGGGAAGAUUGGUGGGUAGGCAGAUAGACCCGGGCAGCGAUGCCAGGGCCAGAUAAAUGAUAGUGUAGAAACAGAAUCCGGCUUACGAGUUUGUAGUUUUU